CAUUAUUCUAAAAAGAUUAUUCAAGAAAAAAACCUCGGUUUUGUUUCCAAUGCCGCGAAGUUGGGUCCUAUUUGAUCCGAUCUAUAGCUCAUCGUCUACUUGUUCCUAUUUUAUUCGCUUCGUUCAUCCGAUUCGACUCGUUUAUUUUGUAGUCGGAUUAAAACUAACCAAAUUGGUUCAUUUUGAGAUGUGGAAGGCCUCCUCCUCUCGGUUCUGUCCCAAAAGGGACAGAGGCAUGACCGUACCGAUUUUUCUCGCACUUUCAAAUACACUCGUUCUUGUCAAGGGGAAUUUCAUUUGUAUUCAAUUCAUUGAUCGUGAGGCAUCUAACAGAGGAGGACUACGCGGAAGCUUAGUGGUGAGGAUGGUCUUUCUUCCAUUGGAAGAAAGUUCAUAUGCUACCUUUGCAAGGUCCAGUUCAGAUGGAAGCAGGAAGUUGGGAAAUUGCCUUUCAGAGGCCCUGAAGUUGGUUAUAUUAAUUGAUUGUUGUAUGGUUGGAAAUGGACGGAUGGAGAAGUAUCAACAGCCCCCGGUAUGAAUGAUUGAAUGAUGCUAUAUAUAUCUCUUUCUGAUAGAGAAGCUAGCUUGAACCCAAAAGGUGUGAUAGCAUUAAUAAUGUAGAGACGAAAAGGUGUCGGAUGGAAGCUCGUAGAGUGUGAAACCGAGGUUUGUGUUCGAAGCUUUGUUGUCAUCUUAAGAUGUACUUUAGCAACACUAAUGAUACAAAUGUAGAUUAUGAUUGAUACCCAAUGUGAUAAGGCUUUAGUACCGAAAGCCAAGCUGAGACGGAAAUCAACAACUCUUUAUUAGUAUUUUUAUUCUGACUACUAAAAUCCUUCUAUUGUACUCUGGAAAUUUUAUUUCUCGGUUUUCUUUUAUUUCCUGUUGUAAUAUAUAGUUUCUCCUUUGGGAUUUCAAACAUCCGCGCCCAACAUGAUGGAUGUGGGUAUUCCGAGAAGCACAAUGAUAGAUCGACAGGCCUGCUUCACUCACGAUUUUGACAUAUUGAGUGCCCAUUUUUGUUUUCCUGUUUCUUCUCUUUUUGUUUUCGUUUUCUUUUUCUUUACCCUUUUCUAUGGCAGAAAUCUGAUUCUGGAUGAUUCCAAUUUCCGCAGAUACGACUUACUUCCUGUUUUGUUUUUUUCUUUUUAACAGCAUUUUAGUUUAGAACUUAGAAGAACAAAGAAGAGAUUUGAAUGGAAGGUCCUUGUACUGCAUUAAAAAAAGAGAAGAAAAGAAAUGUAUAGCCUCAUUAAAUCCCUAUGGAAGACUCAUACUAAAUGAAAAUCAAGCUGAUCAGAUUCGUUAAAAAAUGUUGGUAAC